rnacentral:rRNA from 1 species
GGGUCAGUAGGUUGGUCGUGCCACCGGUACGUACUGGUCUCACUGAUUCCCCCUCCCUGAAGAACCGUAAUGCCAUUAAUUUGGUGUUGCGGGGAAACAGGACUGUUACUUUGAAAAAAUUAGAGUGUUCAAAGCAAGCUAACGCUUGAAUACAUUAGCAUGGAAUAAUGAAAUAGGACGAUCGGUCCUAUUUUGUUGGUUUCUAGGAUUGACGUA